UACGUAGGGGGCUAGCGUUGUCCGGAAUCAUUGGGCGUAAAGCGCGUGUAGGCGGCUCGAUAAGUCCGCUCUGAAAGCCCGGGGCUCAACCCCGGGAGGCGGGUGGAUACUGUCGAGCUCGAGUCCGGAAGAGGCAAGUGGAAUUCCCGGUGUAGCGGUGAAAUGCGCAGAUAUCGGGAGGAACACCAAUGGCGAAGGCAGCUUGCUGGGACGGUACUGACGCUGAGACGCGAAAGCGUGGGGAGCAAACAGG
rnacentral:rRNA from 2 species